CAGAAAACAAACACAUUCAAGGCUAAGGAAGAAUCAGGAUGGUUUUCAAAGUACUGGUACAUACAAGUAUUCAGCACAUCCCCUCCUGUCAGAUUAUUCCAAAGGGAAAAAGAGCUGUAACAGUUCUCCAGAGCAGGGAAGGUGGGGAAGUCCCUAAAACCUGUUGUGGCUGCAGCCAGUUCUCAGUGGCUGAGACAGUUCAGCUAGGAGAGGAGACACACAAACCCAGUGCUGUGCAUGGGCAAUGGCAGCAAACACGAGCCCCUCCCAAUUUACCUGCCAGGGCUGUUUUCCCUCACUUCUGCACCUGUCUUUUUUGUACACAGCUGCAAUUGUGCUGCUUGCUUUGGGUGUUAUGCAUGAACACACUUGGGUUCUACCUCAGCUCAUGUGUCUGGUGUGGCACUUUAGGAGAACAGUGAGUUUUCCCAAUUUUCCCAAUGGACCCAUAUCCCACUGCACAGGUGUCCUGGUGCUUUUUGGGUCACUUCCAUGAGAAAUCACUCUGCUCCUUUUUACUUUAAUUGAUGAGACUAUGGAUAAGAUUCCAAGUGACAGAAAGCAAGAUUUUGGCUGAAGUGUUUUCCUUAUUGUGUGAUUUCAAAUAUUGAAUGUACACUUGUUUCUCCACCUUGAAGCUGAUGGGAAGUUUGGUAAACACAAAGCAUUUACUAAUGCCAAAACAUUUUGGGGAUGAGAGCCAGGACUGAUGACUUCUGGGAAGCAGAACAGACAUUUUCAGUUGUCUAUUCCUAAAGUGAUGGUGGAUUUUCAAAUAACAGAAAUCUUCUUUAGUUGCACAGCCACCAGAACAACUUCUGGGAUAAAGCCUUUCAAUGACUUCAAAUGAAGUCUGAAUCCAAAGGGAUGCAAUUUCACUCCAGGAGAGCUCAUCAGCCUGAUCUGCUGUCCCAAAUUAUGAAGAUCAAAUCAGAUGACUGGACCCACUAAUCAUAAAUCAGCUGCAAAAUACAAUUCACUCUCCAAGAGCAGUGAGAGAUUCAUUCACAACAACUCCUACCUGACUCCAGGUCUUGGGAAGCAGUCUCCCAAUUUUCAAAGGGAUAAUGCAGCAAGGAAGAGCCAGAAUUAUAAAGGACUGGUCUGGAUGUCCCUUGCCCCAGCAGUGUGUUGAGAAUUCCAAGCCCCAAAAAGCAGCAUUUGACAGAAUCCCAGAAUAGCAGGGAUUGGGAUGGACCUCUGGAGCUCAUCCAGGAUCACCCAGAGCAGGUGACAUGGGAAUGCAUCCAGGUGGGUUUGGGAUGUGUCCAGAGAGGGAGAUCUCCACACCCUCCCUCCAUGGGCAGCUCUUCCAGUU